AUCUGAUGAUGUGGGCAUUUAUAGAGAAGGUCCCUAAAAUACUCCCAAGUCUUAAAGAAAAGUUUUCCAUUCGUUUGUGAGAAAUUUGUGAUUGCCCUCCGCAGCU